ACUUACAUUUUAUCUAAAUAAAAGCUAAAAUUGUCCUGUGAUCACUUGACUCCGGGAGCUGGGGCUUUAAGAAAAACACCAAAUAUCAUGAGACUCUCAAUAAAAUCACAAGGGCUGACAAUGGUGCCUGUGCUUAAACACAUGCAUAGUCCAAUAGAAGUCAAUGGGCUUACUCAUAUGCUUAAAAAGAAGCAUAUGCUUAAGUCUCUUCUUGAACUGCGGCCUUACAUAACACCAGGGAAUUAAUUAUAGACCCUAACUCUGUCUUUCCAGACUUUCUAAUGUUUUUAUUACAUAGGGAGGUAUAAAAGCAUUUCCUUUGGAAUUGGCUGAAUUAAGUGUGAACAGUCUUCCAUCCUCAACUAUCUCUUCAUGAUGAUAUUUUUUUGUGGGGGUUAUGGGAGAAAGAAACCCCAAAAUAUACACCCAAACACAUACCAAGGGCUGCUGAAACUAAGUAACAAUUUGCUACCAGCGGAGAACAAGUUCUGGAGGCAUUAAUCAAAGCACAGCAGAAAAUAAUGCCAUUAUGAUACCAAUAGCUAGGGAGAUGGAGACAGGAAAAAAAAAAUCAGAGGAGCAAGAAAAAGAGCAUCAAGAGCACAUUGCAUAAUGGAGUGUGUGUUCCUUCGCAGACGACUCUCAUCUCCUUCUGACAGUCUAUCACAGACCAACAACAACAAAAGUGAAGUGGCUGCAAGAUUUACAUUGGAAGGUGGAUAAUGCAGACAGAACAUUUUAAAUUAGAUCAAACAUAAAUGUAUAAAGAAUGAGGAGUACUUGUGGCACC